rnacentral:rRNA from 1 species
CAUGCAAGUCGAACGAACCUUCGGGUUAGUGGCGGACGGGUGAGUAACGCGUGAGAAUCUGCCCUCAGGAGGGGGAUAACAGUUGGAAACGACUGCUAGUACCCCAUAUGCCGAGAGGUGAAAUGAAUUUCGCCUGGGGAUGAGCUCGCGUCUGAUUAGCUUGUUGGUGGGGUAAUAGCCUACCAAGGCUUCGAUCAGUAGCUGGUCUGAGAGGACGAUCAGCCACACUGGGACUGAGACACGGCCCAGACUCCUACGGGAGGCAGCAGUGGGGAAUUUUCCGCAAUGGGCGAAAGCCUGACGGAGCAACGCCGCGUGAGGGAUGGAGGCCUUUGGGCUGUAAACCUCUUUUCUCAAGGAAGAAGAUCUGACGGUACUUGAGGAAUAAGCCACGGCUAAUUCCGUGCCAGCAGCCGCGGUAAUACGGGAGUGGCAAGCGUUAUCCGGAAUUAUUGGGCGUAAAGCGUCCGCAGGCGGCCGUUUAAGUCUGUUGUUAAAUCGUGGAGCUCAACUCCAUCACGGCAAUGGAAACUGUUCGGCUUGAGUAUGGUAGGGGCAGAGGGAAUUUCCGGUGUAGCGGUGAAAUGCGUAGAUAUCGGGAAGAACACCAGUGGCGAAAGCGCUCUGCUGGGCCAUUACUGACG